GACGAACGCUGGCGGCGUGCUUAACACAUGCAAGUCGAACGGAAAGGCCCUGCUUUUGUGGGGUGCUCGAGUGGCGAACGGGUGAGUAACACGUGAGUAACCUGCCCUUGACUUUGGGAUAACUUCAGGAAACUGGGGCUAAUACCGGAUAGGAGCUCCUGCUGCAUGGUGGGGGUUGGAAAGUUUCGGCGGUUGGGGAUGGACUCGCGGCUUAUCAGCUUGUUGGUGGGGUAGUGGCUUACCAAGGCUUUGACGGGUAGCCGGCCUGAGAGGGUGACCGGCCACAUUGGGACUGAGAGACGGCCCAGAGUCCUAAGGGAGGCAGAAGUGGGGAAUAUUGCACAAUGGGCGGAAGCCUGAUGCAGCAACGCCGCGUGCGGGAUGACGGCCUUCGGGUUGUAAACAGCUUUCGCCUGUGACGAAGCGUGAGUGACGGUAAUGGGUAAAGAAGCACCGGCUAAAUACGUG
rnacentral:rRNA from 1 species